GAGGUCCUAUGGGUUGUAAACUCCUUUUUGUACCGGAGUAAUAAGGUCUUUGCGAAGCCGAUGAGAGUACGGUACGAUAGCAUCGGCUACUCCGUGCCAGCAGCCGCGGUAAUACGGAGGAUGCAAGCGUUAUCCGGGAUUUAUUGGGUUUAAAGGGUGCGCAGGCGGCGCGAUAAGUCAGCGGUGAAAGGUCCCGGCUCAACCGGGGAGCUGCCGUUGAUACUGUUGUGCUGGAGUGCGGACGGCGCCGGCGGAAUGUGUCAUGUAGCGGUGACAUGCUUAGAGAUGACACAGAACACCGAUCGCGAAGGCAGCUGGCGAGGCCGUUACUGACGCUGAGGCACGAAAGCGUGGGGAGCAAACAGGAUUAGAUACCCUGGUAGUCCACGCAGUAAACGAUGGGGACUUGUUGUCGGCGAUAGAGUGUCGGUGACAAAGCGAAAGCGAUAAGUCCCCCACCUGGGGAGUACGAUCGCAAGGUUGAAACUCAAAGGAAUUGACGGGGGCCCGCACAAGCGGAGGAGCAUGUGGUUUAAUUCGAUGAUACGCGAGGAACCUUACCUGGACUCAAAUGCAGCGUGACCGUUCCAGAAAUGGGACAUUCCUUCGGGACAGGCUGCAAGGUGCUGCAUGGUUGUCGUCAGCUCGUGCCGUGAGGUGUCAGGUUAAGUCCUAUAACGAGCGCAACCCCUACGUCCAGUUGCCAGCGGGUAAAGCCGGGGACUCUGGAGGGACUGCCGGCGCAAGCCGAGAGGAAGGUGGGGAUGACGUCAAAUCAGCACGGCCCUUACGUCCAGGGCGACACACGUGCUACAAUGGCCGGUACAGAGGGCAGCCACCACGCGAGUGGGAGCGAAUCUCGAAAGCCGGUCUCAGUUCGGAUCGGAGUCUGCAACCCGACUCCGUGAAGUUGGAUUCGCUAGUAAUCGCGCAUCAGCCAUGGCGCGGUGAAUACGUUCCCGGGCCUUGUACACACCGCCCGUCAAGCCAUGAAAGUCUGGGGUACCUGAAGUCCGUGACCGCGAGGAGCGGCCUAGGGUAAAACAGGUGAUUGGGGCUAAGUCGUAACAAGGUAAAUCACUGCCGUCGUAUCU
rnacentral:rRNA from 1 species